rnacentral:misc_RNA from 1 species
AUGUGCGCAAAUCAGCUGUUCGAAUGCCAUUCGCCUGUUCACGUUGCGCUGACAUUACUAUCGAUAAAAUACGAGUUUAGUCAUUAAUCGAUAAGAAGCACGCUUUUUGCUGGCCAGUGCGCGCGUUCCAUGACAAUUUGUGCUUAAAUUGAUCAUAAUUAAAGUACAACAUGGACCAUACACGUGAAAUACUGACAUUUCAGUUUGGCACAUAUGCCAAUUAUGUGGGCGCACACUUCUGGAAUCAGCAGGAGGCAAACUUUGUGUACGAUCAGGAGAACGGCGGCAAUGUGGCUGAGGAGCAGCUGCCCCACAAUGAUAUACUCUAUAGAGAGGGCCGGAAUGAUCAGAAACAAACGACUUAUACGCCGCGCAUGCUCUCCGUAGAUCUUGCCGGCACGCUGGGCCAUCUGCCCGUUGUGGGCGAGCUGUAUGGCAAUUUUCUACAGUUGGCGGAUGAACAAAACGCUGAUGAAAUCCAGAAAGUCAAAGAAUUGGCCGAACAGAAUAAGCUAUCCACGCACGGUGAGCUGGAUGUACGCAAGCAGCCAGCGGCUACAUUGUCCGAAUAUCAGCAGGAUUUGCUUAAGGGCGCCGUCAAUACGCACGAUAAGGACUACAAUUUGGCUGGGACUUGCAACAGCUGGGCGGACUAUCUAUAUGCACGUUACCAUCCACGCUCAUUUAAUUUGCUGCACGGUUUGGUGCGUCAGCCGGACGUUCAGGUGCUGGGCACACAUGCCGCAGGCGUGGAACUGUGGCAGUCGGUGUCCUUUAACGAGGACUUUUGUGAUCGCAUACGCAUGUACGCCGAGGAAUGCGAUGGUCUGCAGGGCUUCCAGCUGCUCUUUGACAUUGACGACGGCUUCAGUGGAUUGGCCAGCAAGUGUCUGGAGCAUUUGAAUGAUGAAUACAGCCGCGCCAGCUUUGUCCUGCCGCUGCACUAUCCACGCAACAUCGCCUAUGCCCAAGCAGAUCCACGCACCGCCCACGGCAUUCGUGUGGCGAACAGCGUACUCAGCUAUUAUCAUCUCAGCGAGCAGGCGAAUAUGUUUACGCCACUGUCCACGCUGGAGACCAUUUGGCGCAAUAAUACGCUGCAGUCGCGUCGACUGCCCGGUCUGCAUUGGCAGCCAGACAAUCUGUACCAGAGCUCUGCCGUGCUAGCGGCAUAUUUGGACACAGUUACGCUCGGCUAUCGUCUGCGCCAGACGCCCGAAACACUAUUGCGCUUCUGCGAUCGCGUCUGUCCCUCUGGCCGCAAAAUGACGGCGGCUGCUUUGGCUCUGCCCUUGGGCAUGCAGCAAGAACAGGAUCUCAUUGAUUAUUUGGACCAGGGGGCGAGUGGUUCGCUCUUCACACAGCUUACGCCUGGCUGUGAGCCGGGCAACUCGCAUAUUGUACAGUCAGUUGUAGCGCGCGGCAUACCCCAUGCACGGCUCAAGCGUCCCCUGGAGCUGGCAGGGCCACAGCUGCGCAUGUCCGCCUAUAAAUGCGACAGCGUCUCCCAGAUGCUCCAAUUGUAUUAUCAGUGUGCCUAUCAUGGCAGUCUGACGCAUGCUGCCGCCACGCCACUACCCCUCAAGACGCAGCUGCCGUUCCCUUACGAGAUCUUUGAGACACGCGUUGCUGCCGAUGGCUUUAUGCUGCCGGGUGAGGCGCAGCGUGAGCCGAAGUCACGUGUGGCCAGCGCACCAGCCUUGGCUGCGAUACAGAACUCCAGCAAGCUGGGUGAGCAUCUCGAUGCGCUGCACGGCCAAACGCAUCGCGUUCAGGUGGCCAAAUUGCAGGGUUACUCGCAGUCGGGCUUCGAGCGGGAUGAGUACGAAACGGCGCUCGAUAAGCUGCUCGAGUUUCGUGACAAUUACGAAGAUUCCCAGUACCUCUAAGGCGGGAAUCGUCAACUGUGAUAGACAGACACACACACACACACACACACAUUUAAAUAAACACACUAUUAACAGGAUGCGUUCCUGGAUUCGUAGAGACCCAAGCAUUAGCACACACAAAUAACAUGUUCACAGGACACAAGACACCUUUGCUGACAUGUCAUUAAGGCCGUCUUGUAAGCGACAUGAAUUGUCUU